CAAAUAUUGUAUAAAUUCGAGUAAAUUCGUAUCUGAUUGACAAAAACAACAUUGUAAACACAUAACAAUGGGGUUACACUAAUGUCCUGACAAUGUCCUGACAAUGUCCUGACAAAGUCCUGACAGAAAUGUAAAUGCUUAAUACUUUUUUGUUAUUGGAAGGAUUUACUUGAAAUUUGGAAUCAAGCACGAUGAGAACUUACAUUUAAUAAAUAAAAUAAAAAAAAAAUAAAAAAAAAAUAAUUUAAGACUUAGAAAAUUUGACCUGACCAACUUGACCUCGAAAAUACUAUUGUCCUGACCGAUAUGAAACGGCUAAAAAAUAAUUGGUUAUUGACAGGAUAGACUUCAAAUUCGAUAUCAAGGAAGAUUAAAUCAUAUAUUACAAAAAUAUAAGAAAAAAAAAAGAAAAAAAAUAUUUUAAGAGUUAGAAAACUUGACCUGACCAACUUGACCUCGAAAAUACUAUUGUCCUGACCGGUAUGAAACUGUUAAAAAAUAAUUUAUUAAUGACAGGAUAGACUUCAAAUUCGAUAUCAAGGAAGAUUAAAUCAUUUAUUACAAAAAUAUAAGAAGAAGAAAAGAAAAAAAAUAUUUUAAGAGUUAGAAAACUUGACCUGACCAACCACGUCCAGCCGUGACAAAUGUCCUGACCGAUAUAAAACUGGUAAUUUAUUUCUCAAAUUCGGUCGGAUUGACUUUAAAUUUGACACAAGACAAGAAAGUAACAUUGAGUAAAUACUCAUUUGAAAAAAAUUAGGGGGAAAAUACUUAAAGGGUAAAAAAACUUGACCUGACGAACAUCGAUAAAUACUUGACUUAACCCCUUAAACUUAAUACACAAACAACAACAUUUUUAGUUCUUACCUUAUAUUGUAAUUGAAUUUAUAUAUUUCCUAUCCAUAAAAUACAACAUCCAAAGCAAAUAAAUUUUGUUAAAUGAAAAGAUAGGGGAAAUAUGAGUUGCUGAGUGACUGUGAGUAUUGUUUACCCCUUUGUAACAC
rnacentral:lncRNA from 1 species